rnacentral:rRNA from 1 species
UUUAUCGGAGAGUUGGAUCCUGGCUCAGGACGAACGCUGGCGGCGUGCCUAAUACAUGCAAGUCGAGCGGACAGAUGGGAGCUUGCUCCCUGAUGUUAGCGGCGGACGGGUGAGUAACACGUGGGUAACCUGCCUGUAAGACUGGGAUAACUCCGGGAAACCGGGGCUAAUACCGGAUGGUUGUUUGAACCGCAUGGUUCAGACAUAAAAGGUGGCUUCGGCUACCACUUACAGAUGGACCCGCGGCGCAUUAGCUAGUUGGUGAGGUAACGGCUCACCUUGGCGACGAUGCGUAGCCGACCUGAGAGGGUGAUCGGCCACACUGGGACUGAGACACGGCCCAGACUCCUACGGGAGGCAGCAGUAGGGAAUCUUCCGCAAUGGACGAAAGUCUGACGGAGCAACGCCGCGUGAGUGAUGAAGGUUUUCGGAUCGUAAAGCUCUGUUGUUAGGGAAGAACAAGUGCCGUUCAAAUAGGGCGGCACCUUGACGGUACCUAACCAGAAAGCCACGGCUAACUACGUGCCAGCAGCCGCGGUAAUACGUAGGUGGCAAGCGUUGUCCGGAAUUAUUGCCCGUAAAGGGCUCGCAGGCGGUUUCUUAAGUCUGAUGUGAAAGCCCCCGGCUCAACCGGGGAGGGUCAUUGGAAACUGGGGAACUUGAGUGCAGAAGAGGAGAGUGGAAUUCCACGUGUAGCGGUGAAAUGCGUAGAGAUGUGGAGGAACACCAGUGGCGAAGGCGACUCUCUGGUCUGUAACUGACGCUGAGGAGCGAAAGCGUGGGGAGCGAACAGGAUUAGAUACCCUGGUAGUCCACGCCGUAAACGAUGAGUGCUAAGUGUUAGGGGGUUUCCGCCCCUUAGUGCUGCAGCUAACGCAUUAAGCACUCCGCCUGGGGAGUACGGUCGCAAGACUGAAACUCAAAGGAAUUGACGGGGGCCCGCACAAGCGGUGGAGCAUGUGGUUUAAUUCGAAGCAACGCGAAGAACCUUACCAGGUCUUUACAUCCUCUGACAAUCCUAGAGAUAGGACGUCCCCUUCGGGGGCAGAGUGACAGGUGGUGCAUGGUUGUCGUCAGCUCGUGUCGUGAGAUGUUGGGUUAAGUCCCGCAACGAGCGCAACCCUUGAUCUUAGUUGCCAGCAUUCAGUUGGGCACUCUAAGGUGACUGCCGGUGACAAACCGGAGGAAGGUGGGGAUGACGUCAAAUCAUCAUGCCCCUUAUGACCUGGGCUACACACGUGCUACAAUGGACAGAACAAAGGGCAGCGAAACCGCGAGGUUAAGCCAAUCCCACAAAUCUGUUCUCAGUUCGGAUCGCAGUCUGCAACUCGACUGCGUGAAGCUGGAAUCGCUAGUAAUCGCGGAUCAGCAUCCCGCGGUGAAUACGUUCCCGGGCCUUGUACACACCGCCCGUCACACCACGAGAGUUUGUAACACCCGAAGUCGGUGAGGUAACCUUUAUGGAGCCAGCCGCCGAAGGUGGGACAGAUGAUUGGGGUGAAGUCGUAACAAGGUAGCCGUAUCGGAAGGUGCGGCUGGAUCACCUCCUUUCUAA